CUUCUCUCUGUGUUCCAGGUUGGGGACGUCGGCACCGGUUGCUGUGACUGAGUGUCCCCAUCCCCACACGAGGAUGUCCCAGUAUAUCCCAGAGGUGCUCCCAUGGUGCAAGCCUGGAGGACCUCUGUUGGCCAAGACUGGGUUCCAUGUCCACAUGAAGAUUCCCCAUUACACCCCAGAGGUGUUCCCAUGGCAUCACAUGAGCCUGGAGGACCACUGUUGGCCAAGCCCAGCUUCCAUGUCCGUAGGAGGAUCUCCCACUGCACCCUACAGAUGUUCUUAUGGCACUGGGAGAGCCUGGAGGACCACUGUGGGCCAAAGCCAGGUUCCACGUCCACAUGAGGAUGUCCCAAAACAUCUUAGAGGCAUUCCCAUUGAGCCAUGUGAGCCUUGAGAACCCCUGUUGGCCAAGGCCAGGUUCCACGUCCACAUGAGGAUGUCCCAGCACACCCUUGAGGUGCUCCCAUGGCAUCGUGUGAGCCCUGAGGGCCACUUUUGGCUCUGAGAUGGUCGCAGCGUGGUGAGAUGGCUCUGGGCUGGUUGAGUUUUGUUGGCUUUGUGGGACCCCAAGCAUCCACUUCAGGGGGACCUCGUCUUCUACUCAGCCAAAUGACUCCGGGUGCUGCAGGGCGAUGGCAAACGCAAGGAGACAUUCAACCACGGGCUGCCCUGACCCCAUUCCUGCUCCCCACGGGGGUGGGACAAAAGAUUUGUGAUUUGUAACCCAUCAGGUCCCCAAAAAGCACUUUUCUGUCUCCCUCCGAGCUCCACACCGGAGACGCCGGGCUGCCCCUACCCCAAUUCCCUCCCACCGCAGACGUCGAUCCGCGCAGGCGAAUGGAAACACGGCGCUGGCGAGAGGCUCCCCUGCAGAGCAGUUCCUCAUCCCGACCUGCAACGCACACAAAGAGCAAUUCAGGUGGAGUUACCCCGAGGAGAUUUAUGGCGUCCAGGGAGGCGCACGCGAUCCGAUACCAAAGCAUGAAUCAAAGCAGGACAGCCGGGAUGUAUUUACAUCUGCGCCGCGCGCGCGCCGACGUCGCAAGGAGAACACAAAGUGCCCAUCCACUAAUGGAAAGGAGACAUUUCGGAGACGUGAAGGAGUUGGAGACAUUUCGGCCCUAUUUGGAAGAGGUGGAAAUGGAUGGAAGCCAAACGUGCCAUAAGACGAAGUGUGCUGAUGGGAAGCGGAGCCCAUCGCCUCCAUCACUGACAAACAGGGAGAGCUCUGCAAAACCCCACCCUGGGAUGCAAGGAUCCAAAAGCCAUCGGGACGUCGCAUUUACCGACGCCAUUCAUCUACACCCAUCCCCAGGACGGGCUGCAGGAGCCGCGCUGGUGGUCCCAGCCAUUAGCAGAGCCCUGAGGAUGAGCUCCCAGCCCUCUCCCCCAGCCCUGUCCUUGCACAUCAUCCGCCCUCACAUCACUGCUGGAUGUGGCACCGGAGCCCUCGGCGCGGCCACAACUCAGGUUGGCAGCUGAGCAUCCUGGAGCGGCCGAGCGCGGCCGGGAGCCGUAAUUCUUACCCUGCAUUCCCUGCCAGCUCUGCUCCCCGGUGGCACAUAGAUCACCCAGAGGUGUGGAUGGAGAGCAGGCGAUGUAAAUCACAUUAAACUCCACGCGUGGAGCUGCUCGUUCCAAACGCAGCCAGCCUUAAUUCGGUUUAGCUUUGCGAAUUAAGCUCAAGUGAAUUAAACCAACUCUAAUUCUGGGUAAGUGUCCAGAAUGGGGUUUUAUGUGCUCUGGCUAAUCCAUUUUAAAGGUUGAUUUGGGUUAACGUUGAUGGAUGUC
ensembl:lncRNA